GGUCUUGGGUUUGGGCACUGAGGUACCUGCAGACCCAGAGCAGCAAUACUUGACGUUUCCUACCUCAUCUUUAUUUGACCUGGCGUGAUUUUCGCAGCACCAGGGCAUUGCCCUGCACUGAGGAGGAGCAGGAAGGGAGGCUGUGUGGAGCAGCCGCUCACUGCUGCCAGCCCCAGCUGCUUGGCACGGCCAGCACAGCCGCCUGCAGGUGCAGCUGCUCCGUGUUGCAGAGGGCAUUGACAGACCUCUGAAAGAGUCCGUGCCCCGGGGGAUCGCGUGGGAUGCGCUGCUUCUGUGGCCAUCCGGUUCAUCAAAGUAUGAAACAAGCAGAGGAGAGCUCGAGUUCAACGACGCUCUAAGGGAAAAUGAAUGUCUGGCAUCAGCACUGGAGACCUUCUUUCUCCUGCUGAUGUCCCAGCACAUCUUGGCUACUUG
ensembl:lncRNA